GGCACCUUCUGCCGCCCUGGGCGUGUACUGCUAUGGCGCUAGCCGCGGGCUGCCGCGGCUGAUGUCUUGCGAGUUAGCAGUCCGUGGUCUGCAGGCGAUUCCGUUAAUAAUCACUGAAAGCUCAGAAAUGAUUGCCAGGGCAAUGUCAAUUCCGUUCGGAAUGCGACAAAGGCCAAGACAAUGAGGGUUUCGCUCUUCGGGAAGUUUCGUACAGGGAGGAAUAUCUGAGCUUUCGUUCCGCAUCGAGUUGGGAGGCAGCGAUCCUGGCUCUGCUCAGAGGGAGACCAGGGUUAAGUUCUUCUCUCCCGAAUUCCACUUGGUCCAGCCUGGCCAUCCCAGACAGUGGGGGAGUGAACCCACGCUCUCUGCUAUGGCCUAGGAAAGCAGUAGAAGAUGGCCCAAGUCUUUGGGCCUCUGUACCUGUGUGGGAGAUGGGAGGAAGCUCCUGGCUUCUGGCUUCAGACCAGCGCAGCUACUGCCUUUGUGGCCACUGGGGAGUGAACCAGCGGACUGAAGACCUUUCUGUCUGUCUGUCCUUCUCACUGUCUGUAACUCUACCUCUCAAAUAAAUAAAUAAAAUCUUUAAAAAAAAAAAAAGUUGAGAAGAAAUGCCAGUUGUUAACUUCUUCUCAUCUUUCAAGCCUUUUCCUUUUGCAUAGCCCCAGGGGUCCUGAACCUUUUCCUUAAGUGAUAAUAGCCAAUGUAAUGACUUUAUGUAAUUUACACAUUGACAACUCCCAAAUUAUAGCCCCAGUGUCAACUGUUAAUCCUAGAUUCACACAUACCCAACAUCUCAACAUGGCCCCAACCAGACUCACUCAUGUAGCCCAACAAAAUAUCCUCCAUCUGAGCUCUCUGUGCUCUUCUCUCAGUCAAUGGCAACUCCAUCCAUCCAGUUGCU